CAACCGCGCGCUCUCCAAAUCCGAGGAAACUUGUGGUCUCAGAAGGCCGCCGAGCCAGGGCCGGGCAGAGGACUGGAAUCCGAGAGUGGGAAUUCAAGAAAAGAUAAAACACUAUGUAAGUUGGCAAGAUGGCAGCCCCAGCUCCAGCCAACAUGGCUCCGUGGUUGAAGUCUGGAUCUGAGGGCAAACCCAGGAGCCCAGAAAGAAAACCCAAAGGAGACUGAUUGGCUCUGAUUUGCCUCCCUUGAGUUAUGUGCCUGUCCUUGAACCAAUCACUGAAACCACAGGAGAAACUGAUGCUCUGGAUCAUAUGCCAAGCCUGGGUCAUAUACUAUCCCUGGAAUAGGAGAUGGUGAGGAGCAGUCUGCGCAGCAUCUUCCCCAGGAGUAAACUCCAUCUCAAGAAACCACUUUCUGUGUUCGUCCGUAAGAAGCAGCUUCUCAUCCAUUCAAGUUGUAUCAUGAGAUUGCAGCAACUCAGGCUCAUCCUGAGGCGCCACUUCUAGCUCUAGUUCUCUUGCUGUUUCCACCCCAUGUGCACCUAACUUCCUCCUUGGAAGUCUUGAACCCCUCAAAGUUCUCCAUGAGGGUUGGAAUCCACUUCUUCCAAACUCCUGUUAAUGUUGGGAUUUUGACCUCUGAAUGUUCUUUUUUUGUUUU